GGGCUUGACAUCCCACGAACCUGCCCGAAAGGGUGGGGUGCCCGCAAGGGAGCGUGGAGACAGGUGGUGCGUGGCUGUCGUCAGCUCGUGUCGUGAGAUGUUGGGUUAAGUCCCGCAACGAGCGCAACCCUCACCCCUUGUUGCCACCGGGUAACGCCGAGCACUCUAGGGGAACUGCUAGCGUCAAGCGGGAGGAAGGCGGGGAUGACGUCAAGUCAUCAUGCCCCUUACGCCCUGGGCUACACACGUGCUACAAUGGGGACUACAAAGGGACGCAAAGCCGCGAGGUGGAGCAAAACUCAAAAACGGCCUCUAAGUUCAGAUUGCAGUCUGCAACUCGGCUGCAUGAAGGAGGAAUCGCUAGUAAUCGCGCAUCAGCACGGCGCGGUGAACACGUUCCCGGGCCUUGUACACACCGCCCGUCACACCACGAAAGCCGGCUGUACUCGAAGUCGCUGAG
rnacentral:rRNA from 1 species